AACGAACGCUGGCGGCAUGCCUAACACAUGCAAGUCGAACGAGACCUUUGGGUCUAGUGGCGCACGGGUGCGUAACGCGUGGGAAUCUGCCCUUGGGUUCGGAAUAACAGUGAGAAAUUGCUGCUAAUACCGGAUGAUGUCUUCGGACCAAAGAUUUAUCGCCCAGGGAUGAGCCCGCGUAGGAUUAGCUAGUUGGUGGGGUAAUGGCCUACCAAGGCGACGAUCCUUAGCUGGUCUGAGAGGAUGAUCAGCCACACUGGGACUGAGACGCGGCCCAGACUCCUACGGGAGGCAGCAGUGGGGAAUAUUGGACAAUGGGCGCAAGCCUGAUCCAGCAAUGCCGCGUGAGUGAUGAAGGCCUUAGGGUUGUAAAGCUCUUUUACCAGGGAUGAUAAUGACAGUACCUGGAGAAUAAGCUCCGGCUAACUCCGUG
rnacentral:rRNA from 1 species